GACGAACGCUGGCGGCGUGCUUAACACAUGCAAGUCGAACGGAAAGGCCCUGCUUUUGUGGGGUGCUCGAGUGGCGAACGGGUGAGUAACACGUGAGUAACCUGCCCUUGACUUUGGGAUAACUUCAGGAAACUGGGGCUAAUACCGGAUAGGAGCUCCUGCUGCAUGGUGGGGGUUGGAAAGUUUCGGCGGUUGGGGAUGGACUCGCGGCUUAUCAGCUUGUUGGUGGGGUAGUGGCUUGCCAAGGCUUUGACGGGUAGCCGGCCUGAGAGGGUGACCGGCCACAUUGGGACUGAGAUACGGCCCAGACUCCUACGGGAGGCAGCAGUGGGGAAUAUUGCACAAUGGGCGGAAGCCUGAUGCAGCAACGCCGCGUGCGGGAUGACGGCCUUCGGGUUGUAAACCGCUUUCGCCUGUGACGAAGCGUGAGUGACGGUAAUGGGUAAAGAAGCACCGGCUAGCUACGUG
rnacentral:rRNA from 1 species